GCUUAAUAUAAUUAUUUAUAUAUAAUUAAUUGCUCUACAUAUUAUUUUCUCUUUCCGUGCCAUGAAUAACACAAAGCUAGGCUUAAAAACCUCUCCAAUAUGAAACAAAAAAAAAGUAGUCCCUAUUAAUUCAAAGCUAAAAGAGAAGAGAGGAGAUGAGAAUAGAAGAGAGCUUACUUAAACUUAAAUGAAUUUGAGAUGAGUUUACAAAGCCACUAUGUAAUAAUAAUGAUAAUAGCAUAUAUUAUGUAACAAUUAGUCACAUAAUUAAGAAGAAGGAGUGAUGAUCAAGCGUUGAAUAUCUUAGAAAGAGCCUGCAAUACAUUAACUUGAAACCUCAAGUGCGUGAUGUGCUCCGCCGUCUUAAGGAAAAGGCGGUCGGCCUUCAGCCCCGCUCCGCCCGGAAUCAGCCGUUGUAAUUUCUUCAUCUUCCUCCCUACUGCCUCCUGCUGCCUCUUUCUUCUCCUUCUCCACUUCACCUUUGCCAAAUCUUUGUAAUUACCCAUAUCUAUCAACUACUAGUAACAUACAACAAGGUACUAAUAAUAUUCACACAAAUUAAAAAUAAAAGAAGGUAGAAGAAGAAGAAGAGGAAGAAAAUUGUGGAUGAUGGAGGAUGAGAAUGUUGCAAUGGAGUGAGCAAGGAGAGAGGGCUAUAAAUGAAUGAAGAAAAAAAAAAAGAGAAAAAGAAAUGGGAUAGCAACUUGAUAGCUAUACAAACGGGC
rnacentral:lncRNA from 1 species